rnacentral:lncRNA from 1 species
GACAUUUUGGCUAAAUUUUCUGUAACUGCUGUUGUUCCUCUGGUUAUUAAAUUGUGUAAAAUGCCCACCCCUUCCUCUCUCCCUUCCUCUCUUCUCCCUCCCUCUGUAAACAGCUGUCUCAUUCACCGCCAGUCAAAACACCCUGGGACAUCCUGGGGCCCAGAGUAUCCUGCAAGGCUCAUGUGUGACCUCCUGGGAAGCAGGUGGCUAUUGAGCUUGGCAGUCUCUCCCCAGGAUGCGGCAGAGGGGCUCACCUUGGUGCGCCAAGAAGAGCAGCUGAGCUGUGCUGAGUUGGGUCUGUCUCCAUCCAGUAUUUGUGGUAACCACAGGCUUCGGGAUAGUCUGCUUCUACCUGGGCACAGCUGUGGAAACUUCCUCGGGCCUUAGAUUUUGCAUCGUUAGGGAUCCGCACCCAGGCAGGUUAGUUCCUCCUUCCCAGGUAAGGCAUGGGAUGGCUGUGCCACUGAAGCCUUGUCUUAAGAGCUAGGUUCUUUCUCUCCUUUCCUUUCCACUCCAUGGAAGGAGCGGGGGGGGGGGGGGGGGGUAGAAGGACGAGGGUGACCUUUUUCCUGCUUGGGUCAAAGAAGUCUAGCUCUAAUUUAUGAGACUCCAAGACAACCUUGCAUUUCUGAAGAGCUAGUGAGAUCACCUGAAGAAUAAACUAAUUUAAAGUCACUUCCACUUACCCCAAAGACUACCAUGCAGAUCUUAGCAUCGAAUGAAUUCCAUCCUUAAUAUUUUAAAGACCUUUUAGUACUUAAAAAACAAAAUAAAGGGGUGAUUCCAAUACUAUAAUUCCUGGUAGGGCACCAGGGUGGACCCUCGGGACACUUCCUGUUGGAGGAGCCUGAUGUAGCACUAGAGUCUCAUGGGAAGUCGUGAGUCCCCAGAUGCAUGGCAUCUCUGCAUUCUCACUUUCCUCCUUUCUACAUGGAGGAAAUAGUAGUUCUGACUUCAGAAUUGUUAAGAUCGACAACUUGGACUUCGUGAGUGAUACAACGUGCCUGCACAGUACUGCCUCAACCAAUGAGCUAGCUACUGCUGAAACUAACCAGGAGGGAAUGCUGAGGGAGAGCAUGAGUCAGUCCCCAGGCCACCCUGUGGCCCAGAGACAGAGUCAUUAGUUGUUGGGACGUUUGAAAGCAGGAUUGCCAGCCAGAAGUCAAAUGGACAUGUAGGGGCUGAAGAGGGGUCAGUGCCUGCAGCUCUGCGCAUGUCAGAGCGAUGCAGCUCUGCGCAUGUCAGAGGGAAGCUCAGGGAUAGCGCCUCAUCCCUCAGAACCUGGGGCCACAGGCAAACCGACUGGUGGGGCAGAGGGGAAGUACUUAAGAGCAGGACUAAGUAGAAGUCUGUUUGGGGCUCUGCUCAGUCAUUUACCCUUGGCUACCCAGACACGGGAUGGUAACAGCCAGCCGUGGCCUCCACCCCACCCUCAGACACUCUAAGAGACACUGGACCUGCUUUCCAAGAACUAACUAGUCUUUCAGUAUGAGUGGAUUUUAUAUAAUGGGGUAAUGAUCAAAGCCCACCUCAGCAUCACCCAUAGCGCUCUGGAGGGCGUUGAAACGUGGGGUAGAUGGGCCUCACCUGAGCUUGUUGAUACAGAGGGAUCCAGACCAGUGGUUCUUACCUCGUGGGUCGUGACCCUUCUGAGGGUCAUAUAUCAGAUAUCCUGCACAUCAGGUAUUUACAUUACAAUUCAUAACUGUAGCACGAUUAUAGCUGCGAAGUAGCAACAAAAUAAUUUUGUGAUGGGGGGGGGGUCAAAACAACAUGAGGAACUAUAUUAAAGGGUCAUAGCAUUAGGAAGGUUGAGAACCUCUGCUCUAGAUGCUAGAGUGAAGAUAAGAAUUUACAUUUCUGAUUAGUUCCUGUAUCGGUUGCUAUUCUCCUUCUCACAGAUGGACUGCCUCUCCUUUGACUUCCCGCCUGUUAUGCUUGGGACUACUGCAGAAGCUUAGCCCCUUCUGAUGUUUGUGUAUGACAAUCUACAGGCCCAGUCCUUGACACUAUCUGAUCCAGAGAGCUGCCUUGUGGGGAUGCAGACCUUCUACAAACAGGCACACUAUGCACCAGGCACCCAGCACAGUCACCCUGGCGCUCCACUCUCAAAAACAAAAGAAGGAUGGAGACCCACUGGACACAUAAAAAAGACCAGAAAUACGAGAAAGAAGUAGGAGAACAACCAACCUCAUAGGGAAAAUAAAUAUUUCAGAAAGCAGAAGAUAAUUCCUCAAAAUAUUAACCAGUGUCUUCAGAGGAAUGAAGGUCUGAGGCCUAUAAUGAAAAGGAAAUAAAUAAAUAAAUAAAUAAAUAAAUAAUUGCUGUCAAAAAGGAAUCACACGGUAAAGAUAGAAGCUUAGAAAUUAAACAGGAUGAUUUAAAUCAAAAUUUUAAUUAAGCUGAGCCAGGUGGUACACACCCUUAAUCCCAACCCUCAAGAGGCAGAGACGGGUGGAUCUUUGUGAGUUUGAAGCCAGCUUGGUCUACAUAGGGAGUUUUAGGUCAGCUAGAGCUACAUAGUGAAAUAUUUUCUC